AAGGUAGCAUAAUCAUUUGCCUCUUAAUUAGUGGCUAGUAUGAAUGGACACACGCAAGUACCCCUGUCUCACUAAUAUAAAUACAAAUUAACAAUCAGGUGAAGAGGCCUGAAUAAAAUAAAAAGACAAAAAGACCCUAUGGAGCUUUAUUUAAACACCCAGACCAGACCAAUCCCACAAUACCUCACCCCGGGUAAAUAAAUUUAGUUGGGGCGACUAAGGAAAACUAUAAAUCUUCCUCCCUAAAAAGAAAAUAAAUCCCCACGGAUCCGUUAUACGAAUAAAGACACAGCUACCCUAGGGAUAACAGGCUAAUUCUUCUCGAGAGCCCAAAUUGACAGAAGAGAUUGGCACCUCGAUGUUGGCUUAGGGUUUCUAUAAGAUGCAGAAGUCUUAUAAGUGGGUUUGUUCAACCCUUAAAACCCUACGUGAUCUGA
rnacentral:rRNA from 1 species